AUUGAAACCGGCGCACGGGUGCGUAACACGUAUGCAACCUACCCUUAACUGGGGCAUAGCUCAGAGAAAUCUGAAUUAAUUCCCCAUAACACUGCACUGUGGCAUCACAGAGCAGUUAAAGUUCCGACGGUUAAGGAUGGGCAUGCGUUGCAUUAGCUAGUUGGUGAGGUAAUGGCUCACCAAGGCUACGAUGCAUAGGGGUUCUGAGAGGAUGAUCCCCCACACUGGUACUGAGACACGGACCAGACUCC
rnacentral:rRNA from 1 species